rnacentral:rRNA from 1 species
CGAUGUCCGAAUGGGGAAACCCAGUGUGUUCCGACACACUAUCGUUAACUGAAUACAUAGGUUAACGAGGCGAACCGGGGGAACUGAAACAUCUAAGUACCCCGAGGAAAAGAAAUCAACCGAGAUUCCCCCAGUAGCGGCGAGCGAACGGGGAGCAGCCCGGAGUCUGAAUCAGCUUGUGUGUUAGUGGAACGGUCUGGAAAGUCCGACGGUACAGGGUGAUAGUCCCGUACACGAAAAUGCACAGGUUGUGAACUCGAAGAGUAGGGCGGGACACGUGGUAUCCUGUCUGAAUAUGGGGGGACCAUCCUCCAAGGCUAAAUACUCCUGACUGACCGAUAGUGAACCAGUACCGUGAGGGAAAGGCGAAAAGAACCCCGGCGAGGGGAGUGAAAAAGAACCUGAAACCGUGUACGUACAAGCAGUGGGAGCACCUUCGGGUGUGACUGCGUACCUUUUGUAUAAUGGGUCAGCGACUUAUAUUCUGUAGCAAGGUUAACCGUAUAGGGGAGCCGAAGGGAAACCGAGUCUUAACUGGGCGUUAAGUUGCAGGGUAUAGACCCGAAACCCGGUGAUCUAGCCAUGGGCAGGUUGAAGGUUGGGUAACACUAACUGGAGGACCGAACCGACUAAUGUUGAAAAAUUAGCGGAUGACCUGUGGCUGGGGGUGAAAGGCCAAUCAAACCGGGAGAUAGCUGGUUCUCCCCGAAAGCUAUUUAGGUAGCGCCUCGUGAACUCAUCUUCGGGGGUAGAGCACUGUUUCGGCUAGGGGGCCAUCCCGGCUUACCAACCCGAUGCAAACUACGAAUACCGAAGAAUGUUAUCACGGGAGACACACGGCGGGUGCUAACGUCCGUCGUGAAGAGGGAAACAACCCAGACCGCCAGCUAAGGUCCCAAAGUCAUGGUUAAGUGGGAAACGAUGUGGGAAGGCACAGACAGCCAGGAUGUUGGCUUAGAAGCAGCCAUCAUUUAAAGAAAGCGUAAUAGCUCACUGGUCGAGUCGGCCUGCGCGGAAGAUGUAACGGGGCUAAACCAUGCACCGAAGCUGCGGCAGCGACACUAUGUGUUGUUGGGUAGGGGAGCGUUCUGUAAGCCGUUGAAGGUGUGCUGUGAGGCAUGCUGGAGGUAUCAGAAGUGCGAAUGCUGACAUAAGUAACGAUAAAGCGGGUGAAAAGCCCGCUCGCCGGAAGACCAAGGGUUCCUGUCCAACGUUAAUCGGGGCAGGGUGAGUCGACCCCUAAGGCGAGGCCGAAAGGCGUAGUCGAUGGGAAACAGGUUAAUAUUCCUGUACUUGGUGUUACUGCGAAGGGGGGACGGAGAAGGCUAUGUCAGCCGGGCGACGGUUGUCCCGGUUUAAGCAUGUAGGCGGAGGUUCCAGGUAAAUCCGGUACCUUAUUAACGCUGAGGUGUGAUGACGAGGCACUACGGUGCUGAAGUGAUAAAUGCCCUGCUUCCAGGAAAAGCCUCUAAGCAUCAGGUAACACGAAAUCGUACCCCAAACCGACACAGGUGGUCAGGUAGAGAAUACCAAGGCGCUUGAGAGAACUCGGGUGAAGGAACUAGGCAAAAUGGUGCCGUAACUUCGGGAGAAGGCACGCUGAUA